rnacentral:rRNA from 1 species
GACGAACGCUGGCGGCGUGCUUAACACAUGCAAGUCGAACGGAAAGGCCCUGCUUUUGUGGGGUGCUCGAGUGGCGAACGGGUGAGUAACACGUGAGUAACCUGCCCUUGACUUUGGGAUAACUUCAGGAAACUGGGGCUAAUACCGGAUAGGAGCUCCUGCUGCAUGGUGGGGGUUGGAAAGUGUCGGCGGUUGGGGAUGGACUCGCGGCUUAUCAGCUUGUUGGUGGGGUAGUGGCUUACCAAGGCUUUGACGGGUAGCCGGCCUGAGAGGGUGACCGGGCACAUUGGGACUGAGAUACGGCGCAGACUGCUGCGGGAGGCAGCAGUGGGGAAUAUUGCACAAUGGGCGGAAGCCUGAUGCAGCAACGCCGCGUGCGGGAUGACGGCCUUCGGGUUGUAAACCGCUUUCGCCUGUGACGAAGCGUGAGUGACGGUAAUGGGUAAAGAAGCAACGGCUAACUACGUG